rnacentral:tRNA from 1 species
ACCUAGGUGGCUCAGCUGGUUAAGCAUCUGACUUUGGCUCAGGUCAAGAUCUCACAGUUUGUGGGUUCAAGCCCCACAUUUGGCU